ACGCGAAGAACCUUACCUACUCUUGACAUCCAGAGAACUUAGCAGAGAUGCUUUGGUGCCUUCGGGAACUCUGAGACAGGUGCUGCAUGGCUGUCGUCAGCUCGUGUUGUGAAAUGUUGGGUUAAGUCCCGCAACGAGCGCAACCCUUAUCCUUUGUUGCCAGCGAUUCGGUCGGGAACUCAAAGGAGACUGCCAGUGAUAAACUGGAGGAAGGUGGGGAUGACGUCAAGUCAUCAUGGCCCUUACGAGUAGGGCUACACACGUGCUACAAUGGCAUAUACAAAGAGAAGCGACCUCGCGAGAGCAAGCGGACCUCAUAAAGUAUGUCGUAGUCCGGAUUGGAGUCUGCAACUCGACU
rnacentral:rRNA from 1 species